GAGCCUCAGCCAAUGACAGUUCAUAUGUGUUGCUUGUGUUGGUGUGAGCUGUUGUGCUGCUCCUCCUCCCUCCAUCAGUGUUACCUUCAGUGUCAGAAGUUGUACCUAGGAAGAUGACUACGAAGCUGGCUAGUGGUCACCGGGUGGAGGCCAUGAGCGAGGAGUGGCUGGCCAGGAUGGAGGAGGAACAGACGCUCUACAACCAUGGUAUGAUCCGCCUCAGGCCCGGAGGCUAUCUCUACCCGACGCUCUUCACCAAAUAUGCUGACACCAUCUACAACUUCAAGUUCACUGAAGGUGACGUACUUGUGAUGGGAAUGCCCAGGUCUGGGACGACCUGGAUGUUGGAGUUGGUGUGGACGAUGCUUCACAACCCCGACCUCAACAACCAGAGGGCCGACCUGCCCAUCUUCAUCAGAGCACCGCAUAUAGACUUUGACAUGAUGCUUGACAGAAAGACCAUAAGAAGCACUGUUGAGAAUCCUCAGCAGAUGACAGAAAUGUUUCUUCAAAUGUGUCCAGGGAAGAAGGUAGAAGACGGAGUGUUUCUGCAGAUUAGCGAGGCUUUACCUGCUCCUUGAGUGAUGAAGACCCACCUGCCCAGCACCCUCCUGCCGCUUACCCUUCCUCUAACCACGAAGGUGGUGUACAUUGCUAGAGAUCCCAAGGACGUGGUUGUAUCGCUAUUCUAUCACUUCUGUAACGUAAAGUUCCACAACUAUACUGGCACCUUCGACAACUUCGUCAAACAUUUCAUGAACAAUGAUUGUUGCCGAACACUGUUCUUUCUCCUCGAUGAAAGCUCGAAGUGAAAAAGAUGCUGCAAAUUAUCACCAAGGUGCCCAGAAGAGCGAAGGAGACUUCUUCAGGAAAGGUGUGU
rnacentral:misc_RNA from 1 species